CUUAAGUCACCAGUGCUAUUACACAUGACAUUGGGAAAACUGAGGCUUCCAUUAGCCCUGCAGGGACACAGUUGUGAUAUUCACACCUAGCCAUCUUCUCUACUGUUUUGAAAAAUUAUUGCAAAAGUUUUCAAACAUGCAAAAGGAUAUAAUAUAGUGAACACCUAGACCCAUCACUCAGCACCUCAUUGGAAGUUACCAAGAUUGUAAUCUGCUACUUUUCCCUACCCCACCCUCCAUUUUUUUUCUUUUACUUUUCUCUUUUUUUGAGACAGAGUCUCACUCUGUUGCUCAAAUUAGAGUGCAGGAGUGCAAUUCCAGCCUGGGCAACAAGAGCAAAACUCCAUCCCAAUCAAUCAAUCAAUCAAUAACAAAUCUCAGACCACAUGUCGUUUUAGCCUAUUUCAGUUUGCAUUUCUAAAAAUUAUGGAUAAUUUUCUCAUAUAAACACAGUCUAUUAUCACUUCCCAACUCCCCCUUCAAAUUGAUAAUUCCUGAAGAUCCAAUGCCCAGUCUCUAACCACAUUUCCAUGACUCAAGUGUCUUUUGUAUAGCUGGUGGGUUUCAAUCUGGAUCUAACCAAGAUCCACACAUUCAUCUGAUAGCGCCAUCUCUUAAAUCUCUUCUGGGAUUUAAGGCAGACAGGGAGAGUACCUGACU
rnacentral:lncRNA from 10 species